AUGGCUCUUGACAUGGCCUAUGCUAAGCCCUCUAACAUUCAUCAACUGAAGGACGAGCUUAGGAGUUGCACCUGCACAAAAAUGAACAUCAAGUUAUUACAAUCUUGGCCGCCGAGCCUUUCGAUGGCGCGGCCGCGGACGAAGCAGUGGUGGAGCUCCGCCGUCCAGCGGAGGCGGGGAUUCUUGGAAUGA
rnacentral:rRNA from 1 species